UCAUAGAUGUCCAACCCUUCAGGAGGUAAACAUAUCACGCAGGGAAGCCACAGAACGCCUGACUUCUGAUCUUUCUAAAAUUUCUGAUUGGGGCAGAGCAAACUUGGUAUUGUUCAAUGCCUCAAAAACUCAAUUCCUCCAUCUAUCAACUCGACACAACCUUCCAGACAACUAUCCCCUCUUCUUCAAUGACGCUCGAUGGUCCCCCUCUUCUACACUGAACAUCCUCGGUCUGUCCUUUACUUAUAAUCUGAACUGGAAACUUCACAUCUCAUCUCUAGCUAAAACAGCUUCUAUGAAGUUCGGUGUUCUGAGAUGUCUCCCCCAGCUUUUCUCAUCCCCCCCCAGCUGCUAACUCUGUACAAGGGCCUUAUCCGUCCAUGUAUGGAGUAUGCUUCACAUGUCUGGGGGGUUCCACUCAUACUGCUCUUCUAGACAGGGUGGAAUCAAAUGCUUUUCGUCUCAUCAACUCCUCUCCUCUAACUGACUGUCUUCAGCCUCUCUCUCACCGCCGCAAUGUUGCAUAUCUAGCUGUCUUCUACCGCUCACUCAAACAAUGCUACAACGUAAAUCCCUUUGCUCUUCCUCACAAAAUUUUGCUUUUUUUUAACUUUAUCUUGUUAUUCAUGAGCCACCCAAAUAAGCGGUGCAGCCAUUAUGUCACUGGUAUGACUGUAUAAGUGCCCACAUCUCCCCUGCCUUUGCUGCAAUGUUGCGGCACAUCCCCUCUGUGUAUUCCGUCACCAAGGAAAGUCAAGCGUGGCACAGUUUUGAGCGCAGUCCCCCGCAGUGACAUUGGUGCAGUCACCCCUUCCAUCAACGCAGUCUUCAAAGAGAAAGAACAGAUUGACGGUGACUAAAGCAAACUUACAAAGUCAACCUACAGUUAAUAAUAAUGAUAAUAAUAAUAAUAAUAAUAAUAAUAAUGAUAAUAAUAAUAAUAAUAAUAGUAGUAAUGGUAAUAAGAGGAGCACUAGUGUAACUGAGGGUGCAGCGCGGCCUUUCACUUCCACCUGAAGGAAAAUGAAAAGCAAGAUUUGUGUUUGUACAAUCAUUUUAUUGAGAAGCAAAAUGAGACAGUGUGAAUAUUGAUAACAGAAGUGUUUGCACUGGAAACUUUCGUGUUGUUAGUGAAGGAGCAAUGCGUGGAGCGGUGUGUCCUGCCGCCAAUAUUCACACCAACAACUGCCACCAUCACAACCCGCACUCUGAACUUUACAUGUGUGUCCGUCUGUCUGUCUGUAUGUCUGUCUGUAUGUAUGUGUGUGUGUGUGUGUGUGUGUGUGUGUGUGUGUGUGUUUAUGGGCGUGUGUAUGUGUUUGCUUGUCUACUCAAAAAUAAAUAAAUAAAUAAAUGAUGGUGGCAGUGGUGUGGUGUGUGGUGUGGUGCAGCAGUGCCGUGCCAGCACCACGCCACACUGCACCACAGUCACCUCAGCAGUGGGGCAGUGGCGGGCUGCCUCCUGCACCUCCUCCAUGCCCCGCACCACCUCGCCAGAGACACCAGGCCAACCACCACCACGCUGCCUGUCCCCGGGUAGCGUCACCACCGCCACCACCACCACCACCGCCGCCUGGCCAGACUGCCAGCACUCACCCUGGGAAAGGUGUGUGCGUGCGUGUGUGCGCGGGUGGAGGUAGAGGAGGGAGGGGCGCAAGGGUGGGCGGCGGUCCCUGCCUCACCUGAGUUCUGGGAGUGGAGGAAAUUGAAAGAGUGUCACUGGUCACCGAACCCUUCUGUCCGCCAUCACGGUUCUUGUAAACAACGCCAAGAGACCGCUAGGGCAAACACUUUUCUUCUAUCUUCACUAUCACUGUCCUGUUACUAUUUUACUGUGCAUUAUUAAAUUCAGUGUAUUUUUUACAAGUACUGUGAUGUUUUUUUUGGUCUUAAUCGUCUAGUUCUCUUUCUUGUAAUAUAUAGUAACUCAUGUCUACGCUUCUGUCUCCAGUAACACCAUUUUGUUACUAAUUUCCUAUGCGUCGGUGACCAUUUACUUCUGCUACUUACUUCUUAUGUACAUGUUAUGUAUAAACUUCUAGGCAGAGAAUAAAUGAAAUGUUAAAGAGACCGCCGGGUUAAAGCAUUCUUCCUUGUUUCCUAGCGAGAAGUCUGUCUUUGAAAUUACGGCAUGAAAAUAAAUUAUGCUUCGCCUACUUGAGAA